GAAAGAAGAACAAAAAAAAAUACCGGCAGCUCUGUUGCUCUCUUCUUCUUCUCCCCGAUCAUUGGAGGAACAACCAAAUCAUAAACGCAGCACCUCGCUUCCUCCUUUGUUAGCAUGUCCAGCCCCCUAUUCUGUUCCCUACAUACAUCUGUUGGCACUGGAGCUCCCAUAUAAUGUUAUUGUAUGGCAAGUGUCCAUGUGUGAGCAUGUGGAUGGCUUUGGUUGAGUCAAUAUUACUUUCUAGCUGUAAUAACUCAUGUUCUGCUGCUAGUUGGAGGCCCUGGAUAAGUGCAUGGAGGUCAACUCAGAUAGCAGUGGUGUGAGAAUCCCCUUCAUGUAGCCUAAUAUCCAGUCGCCUGUAUGGUUCCUAAAGACCCCUCCGAACCUUCCUAUUCCAAGGUUGCAUUUUGUGGAUCCAUUGGUGUUGAGCUUGUACUUACCUGUCCUUCAAGAAGAUGUAAUCCCUCUGCCACUGAUUCACCCCCCUCUGCUUUGGUUUCUCCAGACGAGAAAAAUGUCGCCUUGGCUGUUUCAUAGAAUUGCAUCAACAGAGAGGACUGAACCACUACUUGAAAGAUUCUUUUACCUGUACUUUUUUCUGCUGUAGAGUACUGAUCACCAAUCAUAUAUCUCACGAAAGUCUGACAAUUCGGAGAAGGUACUUGUGAUCACACACAGAAUCACCUGUAUGUAUCGACAUGCAUUUUCAGCUAACAUGAUUACUACUAACGGUUUCUCUUCCAAGUUCAAGUGAUACAGCUUUAGAGUUCAACUACUGAGCUCUUGAUGAAACUCGAAGGACUUACAAGAAGGAACGUGGCAAGCCAUCUCCAGGUAUUAGUUAGUCAUCGCGUUUCAAUCUGCUUUCGAAUUAGGGAUUUUCUAGGUAGAUCUGGUUUGAUACUUCACAAGAUGAAUUGUGUCCCUUCUUUCCUUUGUAGAUUGGAUAUUUCAUUUAUGUACGCAAUCCAUGUACAGUGUUUAUGAAUUUAGUUGACUCUUGAACUAAGCAUGGGAAGAAUUAGAUAUCCUUUGCUCUCACUAUUCACUUUUCGUCACA